rnacentral:tRNA from 1 species
GGAAAAUAAGUAUUUAAACAUUUGGCUUCUAAUCUUUUGUUGUUGGAUUUACAGUCUGGCUUUUCUA